rnacentral:rRNA from 1 species
GUACACGCUGUGACUAGCAUAUCAAUAAGCGGAGGAAAAGAAACUAACAAGGAUUCCCUCAGUAACGGCGAGUGAAGCGGGAAGAGCUCAAAUUUGAAAUCUUGAAAGGUCACCUUUCACGAAUUGUAGUUUAAAGAAGUGUUUUCUGUUACGAUUGUAAUAUAAGUUCUUUGGAAUAGGACAUCACAGAGGGUGAGAAUCCCGUCUAUGAUUGCGAUUUGUAGCUUUGUGAUACACUUUCAAAGAGUCGGGAUUGUUUGGAAAUGCAGUCCAAAAUGGGAGGUAAAUUUCUUCUAAGGCUAAAUAUUGGCGAGAGACCGAUAGCGAACAAGUACCGUGAGGGAAAGAUGAAAAGAACUUUGAAAAGAGAGUUAAAUAGUACGUGAAAUUGUCAAAAGGGAAGCGUUUAACACCAGUGUUGUUUUCUGAAAAUCAACCCCUGUUAGCUUUAUGCAUGUUUGUUUAGACCUAAUCAGCUAUCUUUCAUGUUCUAUUGUUUGCAGUGGUGCACUUUUCAGUUUACAGGUCAACAUCAGCUUUUUUUACCGUAAAAAAGUUAAAGAAAGGUAGCUCAUGGCUCCGGUCGUGAGUGUUAUAGUCUUUUUCCUAUGCGGUAGGAGAGACUGAGGUCUGCAGUGUAGGCUAUUUGGCUAGAUACUCAGGUGCUAUGUGAUACCAUUUCAUAAACAACUUGUUGAUUAUGUUUUGUCUAUUGCAUACUCGCUUGUACUAUCAUACCUACGCUUAGGAUGUUGAGUAGCGACAUACGCAC